rnacentral:rRNA from 1 species
GACGUAGGGCGCGAGCGUUGUCCGGAUUUAUUGGGCGUAAAGAGCUCGUAGGCGGCUUGUUGCGUCAGCUGUGAAAACCCGCAGCUCAACUGUGGGCUUGCAGCUGAUACGGGCAGACUAGAGUGCGGUAGGGGAGAUUGGAAUUCCUGGUGUAGCGGUGGAAUGCGCAGAUAUCAGGAGGAACACCGAUGGCGAAGGCAGAUCUCUGGGCCGUUACUGACGCUGAGGAGCGAAAGCGUGGGGAGCAAACAGG